AAUAUUUUUCCAAAUUUUCUUCCCUUCCAAAUCAAACAGGAUCACUUCGAUAGUUCGAGCUUAUUUUUAAUUCGUGUUUGGAAACAGCACGCGAUGCCGCAGUAUACAAACGACUUUCGAUUUGUUGUGACUCGACGGUCGUAUAGGUGAAAUCGAAUUACGUCGUUAUAAUCAUUUCGUUCUCGACUUCUCGGGCGAUAGGAUGCUUGAAAAUUAAGGCGUGUGAUUUAUUGAAUCCGUUUUUCGUUGUGCUGUGUCUAUAAAAAAUACGUGUCAAUUAACGAAUAGGCGUAUCGUAACGUUAAAAAGAGAUAAACCAUUCAUCAAAACGUGCAUCAAAAUAAUAUCACUUUUAUCCUACAAAACCAUCAAACGCAACAUAAUAAUUUUAUCCAAGUAAUUAUCCUCGCACGCAACUUUCAUCCCUCCAAUCCACGGACGAAAAGAAAAAGGAUUCGUGUAAAAAAAAUAAAAAUAAAAAAGAAACCGCAAGAGGAAGAGACGAAAUAUACAAACACACGGAAGAUACCAUCGACUCGUCGAAAACAGAGAACAACGUCGAGGAAUUUCACGCGUGCAGAGUGGAGGAUUUGAAACGCCGCCCCCAAUGCCGUCUGAAUCUCACCCUCACUCGCGAAACAGCAUCACGCGGCUUCGUUUAAUAUUGCAUUCACCGUGACACCGGUGUGUGUCUGGCAGCCGUAGAUAAACCGGCGAACACGUUUCGCCUGGUGAGCAUCAGAAAGGGCCGAUCUAAAAAAUUCACGACGCCUCGAUCGCUCGAUAUCAGGCACGAGGAACGCCGACAGAAGCGGUUCUGGCUGGCACGCAUACUUCUCUACUUUCACCUCCUCGAAAAAUGCUCGACCGUAGUUAAGUCUCGAUGAGUUUUCCACCACAUCUUUUUUUCUUUUUCCUUUUUUUUUUCCUUUUAGUUUCAGAAACUCAUUUCUUUGGAAAAGAAUCGAGAAAAUGUGGCAAAGAAACCAGACUGAGGCCAUCGAAAGUAACUUUGAAUAUUCUUCGAUUAUUCGAGGAUAUUGUGACUAUGCAAUUUCAUUGGUCGAAGGGCGAGACGUCUAUUGGAUUUGGGUUUCAUGGGGUUGGUGAAUGGUGGACGUGAGGAGAGUUUGAAGUAGUUUCGAUGUUUUGUUGGCAAGAAGAACUACGAAAAAAGAAACUAAAUCCUGCACUUCAUUUACAAAUAACCAAAGAAAAAGUACUUCACUUCUACGAACAGAUCCUCCUUCAAAAUUCAUCCCUUCUUUCAUCCAACAUAACUUCAUUCAUUUCCUUCCAAUAUAACUUCCUUCGCAGAGAAAGCAAGCAACGAUAACAACAUAAAUUACACCUAUCAAACACCACCCAAAAAAUAAAAAGAAAAAAGAAAAGGAAAUAAAAAGAUACCCUCGAACAAAAUUUGUUCUCGUAAAA